rnacentral:rRNA from 1 species
GUGAGUCUUCGCCCAAAAGACGUUGGGGUUAUGCUCUCCAGCGUCGCCCAAGGAUGGGGCCGCGGCCGAUCAGGUUGUUGGUGAGGUAAUGGCUCACCAAGCCUUUUACCGGUGCGGGCCGUGGGAGCGGGAGCCCGGAGAUGGGCACUGAGACAAGGGCCCAGGCCCUACGGGGCGCAGCAGUCGCGAAAACUUUGCAAUAAGCGAAAGCUUGACAGGGCUAUCCCGAGUGCCAUCCGCUGAGGAAGGCUUUUACCCAGUCUAGAACGCUGGGGGAAUAAGGAGAGGGCAAGUCUGGUGUCAGCCGCCGCGGUAAUACCAGCUCUCCGAGUGGUGUGGAUGUUUAUUGGGCCUAAAGCAUCCGUAGCUGGCUAGGUUAGUCCCCUGUUAAAUCCACCGAAUUAAUCGUUGGAUUGCGGGGGAUACUGCUUGGCUAGGGGACGAGAGAGGCAGACGGUAUUUCCGGGGUAGGGGUAAAAUCCUAUAAUCCCGGGAAGACCACCAGUGGCGAAGGCUGUCUGCUAGAACGCGCCCGACGGUGAGGGAUGAAAGCUGGGGGAGCGAACCGGAUUAGAUACCCGGGUAGUCCCAGCUGUAAACGAUGCAGACUAGGUGUUUGGACGGCCACGUGCCGUUCUAGUGCCGCAGGGAAGCUGUUA